UACGGUGGAAUUCAUAGUCGUAGUAGGGGGCCCCUAAGGGGAUUAUUCAGCCGCUAUGUGUCGAAUUCAACCCGUACGCGUUUCAUAGACAAAAGAAACCCCUCAUUUGACAGGAGCUGGCGGCUGACUGCUGAAUUACCGAUAUUUGUCAGCCAAACCAUCCCCUGGCAUUUUUUUUUUGUUGUUAUUCGUGAUUUAUUUAUUAGAAAGUGGACGUUCGGAUCGUUAUAAGUGAAGUUAUAAACAGCGAGUUAUAUCAGUGCCCAAGAUAUAUAUUCGCAAUUGCGUAAACCCAGUAUAAUACUAUGGCGAUAUGGAAUGUACGAAAGAUUCUCAUAUUAGGCAUAAUAUGCCUCUGUUUGAUGAAGAAUGAACACAGAAGACCAAGAGAGGAAUACCAAUACCGCUAGUAUUAUACAUUCUAGCAGCACUUCGAUUCUAUGAAACGGGAUGUUAUCAGACUGUAUGUGCAUUCCAUCAAGCAUUCUAUGAAAUAACAGAAAUGCCACAAGUCAAGCUGUAUUGAUGGCACACAUAGGUAUACAUAUAAACAACCCCGGAGGACCCUAUGCACAGAUUUAAAGAAACCGGCUAUCAUGGCAGGGAAUAGCAGUGAUGAGCUCUGAGAAUACUGUUUUACCAAGAAUACUGAGAAUACUUUGGUCCUUGAAAAUCCGAGUUUUCAGAUCACAGUAAUUGGAAGACCCACAUACCUUGAAAAGUCAGCAGCAUUUAAUAUAGAGGUAGUAGGAGUGAGUGCAGUAUGUUGUAAGGUGGUCACUCACUCUGAAGUCCAUAACAAUAGAAAAUGUAUACAAAUCUUAAUUGAAUGAAAUUUAUUGAUUCACAUCUUUAAUAAAGAUAAUUAUUAAAUGUUUA